rnacentral:rRNA from 1 species
GACAGAGGGUGCAAGCGUUGUUCGGAAUUACUGGGCGUAAAGCGUGUGUAGGCGGCCACGUAAGUCGGAUGUGAAAGCCCCGGGCUCAACCCGGGAAGUGCACUCGAUACUGCGUGGCUUGAGUACUGGAGAGGUUGGUGGAAUUCUCGGUGUAGAGGUGAAAUUCGUAGAUAUCGAGAGGAACACCGGUGGCGAAGGCGGCCAACUGGACAGAUACUGACGCUGAGACACGAAAGCGUGGGUAGCAAACAGG